rnacentral:rRNA from 9 species
UUUUUGUCCACAGUUAUAACUGAAAGGGUUUGGCGGUAAACUAGAUUCGUCCGGGGGAAUGUGCAAAUUAAAGAGAUGGUCCGCUAAUUAUUUUACUAUAGUAAAUAAGUUAGUGUAUAUCCGUUUAUAAAUUUACGUUUAGAGACUUUAAGUGAGUGAUAAUUAUAUAAUUUAAGACAGGUCUAUAUGCUGCUAAUACUAUAGGAAGUUGUGCGUUACUUUUAUAAAUUGAAUAGAUGAAAUUCUUUUAAGAAUUUAGGACUCGGAAGUAGGAGUAAAAUAGUAUGUUACUUCGAAGGUUGAAAUAGUUUAUGUACACAUCGCCCGACAAUCUCGGUGAUAAAUUGAGUUAAGUCGUAACAUGGUAGUGCUUGAAGAAUCA